UACGUAGGGUGCAAGCGUUAUCCGGAAUUAUUGGGCGUAAAGAGCUCGUAGGCGGUUUGUCGCGUCUGCUGUGAAAACUGGGGGCUCAACCCCCAGCCUGCAGUGGGUACGGGCAGACUAGAGUGCGGUAGGGGAGAUUGGAAUUCCUGGUGUAGCGGUGGAAUGCGCAGAUAUCAGGAGGAACACCGAUGGCGAAGGCAGAUCUCUGGGCCGUAACUGACGCUGAGGCGCGAAAGCGUGGGGAGCAAACAGG
rnacentral:rRNA from 1 species